rnacentral:rRNA from 1 species
GUAGGGACCAAGCGUUGUUCGGAUUUACUGGGCGUAAAGGGCGCGUAGGCGGCGCGGUAAGUCACUUGUGAAAUCUCUGAGCUUAACUCAGAACGGCCAAGUGAUACUGCAGUGCUAGAGUGUGGAAGGGGCAAUCGGAAUUCUUGGUGUAGCGGUGAAAUGCGUAGAUAUCAAGAGGAACACCUGAGGUGAAGACGGGUUGCUGGGCCAACACUGACGCUGAGGCGCGAAAGCCAGGGGAGCAAACGGGAUUAGAUACCCCGGUAGUCCUGGCCCUAAACGAUGAAUACUUGGUGUCUGGAGUUUUAAUGCUCCGGGUGCCGUCGCUAACGUUUUUAGUAUUCCGCCUGGGGAGUACGCUCGCAAGAGUG